UACGUAGGUGGCGAGCGUUGUCCGGAAUUACUGGGCGUAAAGGGCGCGUAGGCGGCCUGCUAAGUCGAACGUGAAAUCCCUGGGCUCAACCCAGGAACUGCGUCCGAUACUGGUUGGCUUGAAUCCGGGAGAGGGAUGUGGAAUUCCAGGUGUAGCGGUGAAAUGCGUAGAUAUCUGGAGGAACACCGGUGGCGAAGGCGACAUCCUGGACCGGUAUUGACGCUGAGGCGCGAAAGCCAGGGGAGCAAACGGG
rnacentral:rRNA from 1 species